CAACGAAAAUUCCCCACAAAAUCCAAACGCAGCAAGAAAAAAUCAUGCAAAAUUCAGAUGAUGCAAAGUUUAUAAAAAAACGUUGGAAAGGUGGCAGCAUUGAACCCCAUCCAACGGACAAAGCUUUGAUUGUUAAUUAUCAGCUGGAGGCCACAGUCUUUGGUGAUCCCAAUAAUCCAAUGCUGGAAGAGAAGAAGCACAAGAGUUCUUAUAUAAUGAAAGAUAAAAAUUCAUUGAGAAUUCCCUCACGGUCACCAACACCAGUUAAG